GAUGAACGCUGGCGGCGUGCCUAAUACAUGCAAGUCGAGCGAACAGAUGAGGAGCUUGCUCCUCUGACGUUAGCGGCGGACGGGUGAGUAACACGUGGAUAACCUACCUAUAAGACUGGGAUAACUUCGGGAAACCGGAGCUAAUACCGGAUAAUAUAUUGAACCGCAUGGUUCAAUAGUGAAAUACGGUUUUGCUGUCACUUAUAGAUGGAUCCGCGCCGCAUUAGCUAGUUGGUAAGGUAACGGCUUACCAAGGCAACGAUGCGUAGCCGACCUGAGAGGGUGAUCGGCCACCCUGGAACUGAGACACGGUCCAGACUCCUACGGGAGGCAGCAGUAGGGAAUCUUCCGCAAUGGGCGAAAGCCUGACGGAGCAACGCCGCGUGAGUGAUGAAGGUCUUCGGAUCGUAAAACUCUGUUAUUAGGGAAGAACAAAUGUGUAAGUAACUAUGCACGUCUUGACGGUACCUAAUCAGAAAGCCACGGCUAACUACGUG
rnacentral:rRNA from 1 species